AAAGUCGUAACAAGGUCUCCGUUGGUGAACCAGCGGAGGGAUCAUUACAGAGUUGCAAAACUCCCAACCAUUGUGAACCUACCUCACCGUUGCUUCGGCGGGUGGCCCGCUAAACCCGCGCCGCGCCAGCCCCUCUCUUGGAGGGUCGGCAACCCGUCAGAGGACCGAAAUUCUUCGUCAUCAGUGGCCUCUCUGAGUAACUUAUACAAUAAGUCAAAACUUUCAACAACGGAUCUCUUGGUUCUG
rnacentral:misc_RNA from 1 species